GAGUUUGAUCAUGGCUCAGGAUGAACGCUGGCGGCGUGCCUAAUACAUGCAAGUCGAACGGAGAUUCCGUCGUAAUUCGUUACAGCGGAAAUCUUAGUGGCGAACGGGUGAGUAACGCGUUGGUGACCUGCCCCGGAGAGGGGGAUAACAGCUUGAAAGGGCUGCUAAUACCCCAUGAUGUCUAAAGGGUUAGAAACCUCUAGACGAAAGGCUUCGGUUGCUUCGGGAGGGGCCUGCGUCCCAUCAGCUAGUUGGUAGGGUAAUGGCCUACCAAGGCGAAGACGGGUAGGGGACCUGAGAGGGUGACCCCCCACAAUGGAACCGAAACACGGUCCAUACACCUACGGGUGGCAGCAGUAGGGAAUAUUGCACAAUGGGCGAAAGCCUGAUGCAGCAACGCCGCGUGCGCGAAGAAGGCCUUCGGGUUGUAAAGCGCUUUUCGGGGAGAAGAGAAAGGACGGUAUCCCCGGAAUAAGGAUCGGCUAACUACGUGCCAGCAGCCGCGGUAAUACG
rnacentral:rRNA from 1 species